rnacentral:rRNA from 1 species
AUUGAACGCUGGCGGCAUGCCUUACACAUGCAAGUCGAACGGUAACGGGCCUUCGGGUGCCGACGAGUGGCGAACGGGUGAGUAAUGUAUCGGAACGUACCUUUCAGUGGGGGAUAACGUAGCGAAAGUUACGCUAAUACCGCAUAUUCUGUGAGCAGGAAAGCAGGGGAUCGCAAGACCUUGCGCUGAUUGAGCGGCCGAUAUCAGAUUAGCUAGUUGGUGAGGUAAAGGCUCACCAAGGCGACGAUCUGUAGCGGGUCUGAGAGGAUGAUCCGCCACACUGGAACCUGAGACACGGUCCAGACUCCUACGGAGGCAGCAGUGGGGAAUUUUGGACAAUGGGGGCAACCCUGAUCCAG